rnacentral:rRNA from 1 species
UACGUAGGGUGCAAGCGUUAAUCGGAAUUACUGGGCGUAAAGCGUGCGCAGGCGGUUUUGUAAGUCUGUCGUGAAAGCCCCGGGCUUAACCUGGGAAUGGCAUUUGGGACUGCAAGGCUGGAGUGCGGCAGAGGAGACUGGAAUUCCUGGUGUAGCAGUGAAAUGCGUAGAUAUCAGGAGGAAUACCGAUGGCGAAGGCGGCGACCUGGGCCAAUACUGACGCUGAGGUGCGAAAGCGUGGGGAGCAAACAGG